rnacentral:lncRNA from 1 species
AGGAAAGGAAGACUGCGUGACACAACCAACAGGCUGAGCUGAUAGGGCCCACCCUUCCCUGGCCAUCCUGGGAAAAGCAAGAACCAGUGCUCUCCUGGUACCUUCUAUACUGGGCCAGGCGUCUGGAUUCAACGUGACCGACCACUCACCGAGAACUCUGCCAAUCACUCCACAAGUACUCACUCGCUGCCACUCAGCAAUCCUCUCAGGUAGUCAGUCUCUGUCACCUAUCACAGACAAGAUGAGGCCCAGAGAGGUUAAGUGACCUGCCCCAGGUCACACAGCUGGGGAGGUGGUGGUGGAGCUGGGGCUUGAAACCAGCUGUUCCAGCCUGGGAGUCAGCACCGAUUCCGCUUUCCCUCACAGCCAAGCCACUCGUGAGGCCACGCAAGUCCGCGGCUGCCACAACCCACCCAAGUCCAGUCCCCUGCGCCCCGGCCCAAACCACCAUCUCGGAGCCACUGUCAGCGCUCACCUGGGGGACAGCUGGAGGGCACUCCCUGCUCUCACUCCUGCCAGCCACCAGAAAUCUCCAGGGUCAUCGCCACCUCCCACAGCUUCUCCUGCCUUUAACAGAGUCCAACGUCUCCCCACAGCCUAAGUGGCAGGGUCCACCCGGUCUGGCCUCUGUGAACCUCAGGGCCCACUGCUCUCCCACUAGCCCACACCCUCCAGCCACACUGGCCACGUUCUGAUCCUCAAACACGCCAAGCUCAUUUCCACCUCAGGGCCUUUACAGGUGCUGUUUGUGCUUCCACUAAGAGCUUCUGGUCCCAAUCUUCUCAGGGUUAGCAGCUUCGAGGCAUUCAGGCCUCUGCCCAAACGUCACCUGGGAGAGGCCUUCCCUGUCCACCCGGGAAAGAAGCUCGCCCCUCCAGCUGUGCAAUGAAAUCACUCUCGUCUUCAUCACCCCGGGCCACGUGUUCCUCUCUGGCUACCUGGCGCGAUAGCCUGUCACGAUAAACAUGGGGUGUCUAACCCCCAGGCCGUCGCGGGUGUGGGGGGCCUGGUUUCCUCCUGUGGAGUCGGGGCUGGCUUAGUGCCGCAGCCGUCUCUGCCCCUGGGAGCCGGCAGGGGACGCGCACAUGGGGUGUGGGGUUGGCAUCCUGGGAUCAGCCAGCGCUGGGUGCCUCUGCCCAUCCAGUCGAGCUACCGUGGGGCUGUCCCUCACCCAGGGCAGGAAUCUCAAAUGCAGACCCUGGGUGGCAGAGAGGCGAGGGCACUGGCAGGUCCCCGAGACCCCCGCCCUUGCAGGCCCC